rnacentral:tRNA from 1 species
UCCCUUAUAGCUCAGUUGGUAAAGAAUCUGCCUGCAAUGCAGGAGACCCAGGUUCAAUUCCUGAGUCAGGAGG